GUAUGUCAUACGUAGUCCUUACUAACAAUCACAUUUUUCCCUCUUUCGUAUUCGGAGAAGAAUCAAAAGCCAUUGUUUGAUUUUUUGCACCAGUUGAAGCAAAGAAUCAUUGUCCGCGGAAGCCAUCACCAGCUAAAAUUCAAGUCUGAAGAGGGUAGGAACGACUUGCUUUUGGAAUUGAUCCUUUGUGGGGAGAACAACUACAUGAAUGUUUUAAUUUGAAAGGCUCAACAAAAAUAUUCCAGCACUAGAAGGAAGAUUUGAUGACAGUUGGGGCCGGGAGACUUACAAUGGUAGAUGUCUCUGUUUGUGGGAUGACACUUGUAAAGUGCAAAUACUCUCUUUUUGUGAUAUGACUCAUGUUAACAUUAAACGUGACAUAUUAAGUAAACAGUAAAUGGCUCCUGUAAGCACUAAUUGGCAUAUGUUGCCUUUUUUGUAUGAUUCAUGAGACAAAUAAUGGUAGAUGGCUCUUGUUUGAUCAAUGGUGACUCUCUUUGGUA